rnacentral:rRNA from 1 species
UACGUAGGGUGCGAGCGUUGUCCGGAAUUAUUGGGCGUAAAGCGCACGUAGGCGGUUCGUUAAGUCGGAUGUGAAAGCCCUCGGCUCAACUGAGGAAGUGCACCCGAAACUGGCGAGCUUGAGUACGAAAGAGGAUCGCGGAAUUCCCGGUGUAGAGGUGAAAUUCGUAGAUAUCGGGAGGAACACCGGUGGCGAAGGCGGCGAGUCUGGGUCGAUACUGACGCUGAGGUGCGAAAGCGUGGGGAGCAAACAGG